rnacentral:rRNA from 1 species
ACGUUAACGGCGUCGAGCGGCGGACGGGUGAGUAAUGCCUAGGAAAUUGCCCUGAUGUGGGGGAUAACCAUUGGAAACGAUGGCUAAUACCGCAUAAUGCCUUCGGGCCAAAGAGGGGGACCUUCGGGCCUCUCGCGUCAGGAUAUGCCUAGGUGGGAUUAGCUAGUUGGUGAGGUAAGGGCUCACCAAGGCGACGAUCCCUAGCUGGUCUGAGAGGAUGAUCAGCCACACUGGAACUGAGACACGGUCCAGACUCCUACGGGAGGCAGCAGUGGGGAAUAUUGCACAAUGGGCGCAAGCCUGAUGCAGCCAUGCCGCGUGUAUGAAGAAGGCCUUCGGGUUGUAAAGUACUUUCAGCAGUGAGGAAGGUGGUGUAGUUAAUAACUGCAUCAUUUGACGUUAGCUGCAGAAGAAGCACCGGCUAACUCCGUGCCAGCAGCCGCGGUAAUACGGAGGGUGCGAGCGUUAAUCGGAAUUACUGGGCGUAAAGCGCAUGCAGGUGGUUUGUUAAGUCAGAUGUGAAAGCCCGGGGCUCAACCUCGGAAUUGCAUUUGAAACUGGCAGACUAGAGUACUGUAGAGGGGGGUAGAAUUUCAGGUGUAGCGGUGAAAUGCGUAGAGAUCUGAAGGAAUACCGGUGGCGAAGGCGGCCCCCUGGACAGAUACUGACACUCAGAUGCGAAAGCGUGGGGAGCAAACAGGAUUAGAUACCCUGGUAGUCCACGCCGUAAACGAUGUCUACUUGGAGGUUGUGGCCUUGAGCCGUGGCUUUCGGAGCUAACGCGUUAAGUAGACCGCCUGGGGAGUACGGUCGCAAGAUUAAAACUCAAAUGAAUUGACGGGGGCCCGCACAAGCGGUGGAGCAUGUGGUUUAAUUCGAUGCAACGCGAAGAACCUUACCUACUCUUGACAUCCAGAGAAGCCAGUAGAGAUACAGGUGUGCCUUCGGGAACUCUGAGACAGGUGCUGCAUGGCUGUCGUCAGCUCGUGUUGUGAAAUGUUGGGUUAAGUCCCGCAACGAGCGCAACCCUUAUCCUUGUUUGCCAGCGAGUAAUGUCGGGAACUCCAGGGAGACUGCCGGUGAUAAACCGGAGGAAGGUGGGGACGACGUCAAGUCAUCAUGGCCCUUACGAGUAGGGCUACACACGUGCUACAAUGGCGCAUACAGAGGGCAGCAAGCUAGCGAUAGUGAGCGAAUCCCAAAAAGUGCGUCGUAGUCCGGAUUGGAGUCUGCAACUCGACUCCAUGAAGUCGGAAUCGCUAGUAAUCGUGGAUCAGAAUGCCACGGUGAAUACGUUCCCGGGCCUUGUACACACCGCCCGUCACACCAUGGGAGUGGGCUGCAAAAGAAGUAGGUAGUUUAACCUUCGGGAGAACGCUUACCACUUUGUGGUUCAUGACUGGGGUGAAGUCGUAACAAGGUAGCCCUAGGGGAACCUGGGGCUGGAUCACCUCCUUAUACGAUGAU